CUCUAGCACAAAGUAUUAAAGGUAACGCCUGCCCAGUGAUAAAUUAAACGGCUGCGGGAUCCUCCACCGUACAAAGGUAGCAUAAUCACUUGUCCCCUAAAUAGUGACUAGUAUGAACGGCCAUAUGAAGAUUUUACUGUCUCUUAUAAUUAAUCUAUGAAACUAAUCUAUCAGUACAAAACCUGAUAUUCUUACAUAAGACGAAAAGACCCUGUGGAACUUUAAGCACAAACCACCCAAUGGCACCAAUGCUUUUAGUUGGGGCAACUUUGGAAAUAAACAAAACUUCCAAUUAUUAAACAAGAUAAACAUAUCUUUCCCGAUAUGACCCGGCACUACUGCCGACCAAAGAACCAAGCUACCCCAGGGAUAACAGCGCCAUCCCCUCUUAGAGCCCAAAUCGACGAGCGGGGUUUACGACCUCGAUGUUGGAUCAGGGCCCCCAAACAGUGCAACAGCUGUUAAUGGUUUGUUUGUUCAACAAUUAAAGCCCUACGUGAUCUGAGUUAAGACCGGAGCAAUCCA
rnacentral:rRNA from 1 species